rnacentral:rRNA from 1 species
AGAAUCAACGCUGGCGGCGUGCCUAACACAUGCAAGUCGCACGAGAAAGGGACUUCGGUCCUUAGUACAGUGGCGCACGGGUGAGUAACACGUGAAUCAUCUACCUUCGAGUGGGGAAUAACUGAGAGAAAUCUUAGCUAAUACCGCAUAAUACCUACGGGUCAAAGCAGCAAUGCGCUUGAAGAGGAGUUCGCGGCAGAUUAGUUAGUUGGCGGGGUAAUGGCCCACCAAGACAAUGAUCUGUA